ACUCCACUCGCUGUCUCCCUCCCUGUCAUUUCUUGACUGAGCUGUGCGGAGGCGAAACGGGCGGAGACGGUGAGGCCUGGGAUUCGGCGGCUUGUCUGCCUCGAUAACGACGGUAGGUUUCCGGCGAGGUCUUCUCGAGUCAACUGGGAGAUGUGUUGGGGACUUGGGGUCUUCAGGUGUGCCAGAUCCGCACCAGGUAUUCUAUGGAAUCCCCAUUCGUUUUCUGUCAUUGAUUUUUGUUAUUCACAUUUGAUUUAAUCACAUUUGAUUUAGCUUCAAUCAGUUUGGACUUCGUGAUUCUGUGUUGUAAUGUUUUGAUUUAGGCAUAUAAGGUUUCCUCGUGGGCUAUGUUGUGUCUGACAGUUAGCCUUAUUAGGGUUUAGUUUGGGGAAUCAUAGUCUCCUAUUGUCUGAUAUGUUCUCAAUUAUGAUUCAGUUUUUGUUAUUUGUGGUAUACUAUUUUCCAAUUUUGAGCUCAAUUUGGAUAUUGAUCUGAUAAUGGCUAAUUUGUUGCCUCUAAGGGUUCUGACUUUUGACUUGGGGAUAUAUGCUCUGUUAAUUACAGGUUAGAGCUCUAUUAGGUCCCCAUUAGCUUCACAUUUGUGGUCAAUGUACCUUUCUGUGUUGUGACAUCCAGAGCGCACUACAAGAAUUUGUGUUCAAUGUACCUGUUUGUUUGAAAUUCCCCCUCGUGAGAUCGCCCCUUUUCCAGUUCACCUUCUUGGUGAGAUCAUCAACCUAUCUUUUCUGUCCUUUCUCAUUUCGGAUUUGAUUGGUUCUUCUCAAUUUAGUCAUGCCUUUUGCUUUUGUUGUCCCCUGCUGUUUGGAGUUCACUGAUGUCAUGUUUUCUGCUUCCCAUUUGUGUUCUGUUUUUUUUCUUUUCCAUCUGUCCAUUGCUGUCACCUGCAUCUCCUUGCAGAACUGUGAUUAGAACUAGGAUAAUUUAGGGAUUACAUUCUUUUUAUGGCCAAAAUGAUUUUAAGGUUGCUUUGUCUUCUUUUUAUUCUCUUGCUAUCUUGUACAUGUCUUGCGAAUCAGGUGCUUUAAAUGUUUUUCCAUUUAUGUUUUAAAUAUGUAAGUGGAGAUGAGUAUGAUCCUUUGGAUUUUGCCUUCAUCAUGGCUAAGGGUGGACACGAGCUUCACUUGAAUAGCAGGAUAGCAGCACGGAUACCCUUCUUUCCAUGGGAAGUCUGUAGGCCAGCCACAUGGUCCCUACAUUCCUUUUCAGAGCCGUAGCCUUACUCCUCUUCCAUUAUUUUUUCUAAAUCACAAAGUUACUGGCUUAUUUUUGUUUUUUUUUUUGUCUGGAGAAAAAAGAGCUUUGGUGUUCUAGAAAAUAGGGCAGAGAGGAAGGGAUGGGCUGUGGCAGAUGGCAAUUGUGGAGCUGCUGGAAACAGGUAUAUGCAGUCAUAUAACAUGCCUUGAUAGCAGGGUCUGCUGAUCUAUCAUCUAGAACUGCAUCUAGUUUGUUAAAGUCUGCAACAAUAAUGAGGGUGCUUUCCAUCUCUGUGAGGAGUGCUUCGACUUCGGUAUGUAGGAAAAAUUGAUUUCGUCAAUAUUGGAAAAUAGUUGCAAUAUCAACUGGUAUAUUUCAAGUGCAAUGUGUUUCCCUUUCAAUGGUAUCUAGAGUAAUUUCUACCAACAAGACUGAACUAUGUAUUAUCUACCACUUUUUAUCAGGUUUUGAUUGUCAAGUACUGUUUUCUUGCUUUAUUGUUCAGGGUCGACAGAAGCCCGCUAUAUGUACACAUAUGAUCCUGGGUGUUUUUCCAUCUCCGGGACUAUACUAUCUUUUUAUAAUAUCAGUUGUACACUAAGUACAAGAAUAAAGAUGAUGAAAUAUUAAUAAUAAAUAAUUUGGACUAGGAUUACACCAUGGCAUAGCAUCAUAAUUUUGGUGCAUUUUGUUAUUUUUUCUGUAUUGUGCAUGACCUAUGUUUUUCUGCCAAAACUGCAGGUAUAAUGUGUUUACUGUUCCUUCCAGCUUGCUUGUCUAGUGUAUAUACAUGGGAUGGCAUGUCUUUGUUCAUUUGUGUUGUCAGAGGUUUCAGUCACCUUUUCUUAUGUUUACGAGCUGUAAUUCAAGUCCAAACUAUCCUACUCCCAUAAAAAUUUAGGAGUUGACCACAAAUCUGCUAUAUGUAACUGUGUAAAACCAGGCCAGCUUGCCAAGAAAUUCAUAGUAUUCUAAGCUUAUGGGUUCACAAUGUUCUGCACUAGUCUUGAAUUUACUUUUGGUAGAAACUGACAUGGUAAAUCAAGUAUUAAGUUAUCUACUUGCAGUACAUUGAUUGAUCUAGAUUAUGUGUCAUAGUAAAAGAAUGGAGCUAAUAAUAUAUGAGCUGAAGAUUGUAUCGAUUUUAAUAUGAAAUUGCAAACAAUUACACCAUGAUGUACCAUCCUAAGUUUUCUGUUAUGUUAAUAUAAAUUUGUAAUUGUGCAUCAGUGUGACAGUUAAGACUUAAGGGGCUAGAGUUACACGGCUUGCUGAUUGCAUUCUGUUUGUGGUGAACUCAUCACCAUGGUCAAUAUUUUAUUGUCUAGGUUAGAACAAAAUUGUGGCUAUUAUAUUCAUAUUUCACUUCAUUUUCCUAUAGGAUUCUUCAUCAUUUUAAUAUUUUCUUAUACCUUUCUUUUAUGAACUGAGUGAGGCCUAGUGUAAGGUGUUGACAUGAACUGGGUUGUGCUGUGUUUUUUUCCAAUUAUGAUCUAGGUCAAGUCAAAUCUUUUGACUUAGAUAUGUUCAUUCACAUGUUAACUGAAGCUAAAUUAACUGGCAGUUCAGUAAUUGAGAUCAAUGCUAUUAAUAAUAGGUUUAGAACACAAUGAUCAGAUCUAAUGUUUUUGCAGCUUGCUACUGUUCAGUAUUAAGUUAUCUCAAAUACAGUUAACUAAUUGAGAUCAAUGCAGUACUCUUAUCCUUAAUUUUUUGAGUUGCAGGCUUUCACACAGAUAAGACUUGAUCGUUGAACUUGUGCUUCACCAAUUUGAUCAUGUGGUUCUCACUGAUAUAGGUAUAUGAAGUUGCCCAACAAGCACACAUGAAUACAUGAUUUUUGUCUGUUUGUUGCCUUCAACCAGUAGCUUUAAAGUUUAGUCCAAAACUCAAAACAGAUCUACAUUUCACAUAUGUAGGUCAUGUUUUGCGUACAACUUGGGCAAAAAUUUACUAUUUUUUAUGUUACAUUUGUCAAAAACAUAGUAAUUAUUUUAAUGUUUUUAAGAUGUUCAUGUUCCUGUAAUUUUUACGUUUGCACGAAUGUAAAAUUCUGUGUUGAAUUUGCUGUAAUAACUCAAAUCAGUUUGAUUUUGUGCACGCGUGUUCAAUUGUA